GAAUAACUCAGCUUAUUGGUAAAGCUAAACUAUUUGCUACAUAGUUGCCUUUUAUAGGUUCAGUGUUCGAUUCACUGGUUAUUCG
rnacentral:tRNA from 1 species